GCUGGCGGCGUGCUUAACACAUGCAAGUCGAACGGAAAGGCCCCGCUUUUGUGGGGUGCUCGAGUGGCGAACGGGUGAGUAACACGUGAGUAACCUGCCCUUGACUUUGGGAUAACUUCAGGAAACUGGGGCUAAUACCGGAUAGGAGCUCCUGCUGCAUGGUGGGGGUUGGAAAGUUUCGGCGGUUGGGGAUGGACUCGCGGCUUAUCAGCUUGUUGGUGGGGUAGUGGCUUACCAAGGCUUUGACGGGUAGCCGGCCUGAGAGGGUGACCGGCCACAUUGGGACUGAGAUACGGCCCAGACUCCUACGGGAGGCAGCAGUGGGGAAUAUUGCACAAUGGGCGGAAGCCUGAUGCAGCAACGCCGCGUGCGGGAUGACGGCCUUCGGGUUGUAAACCGCUUUCGCCUGUGACGAAGCGUGAGUGACGGUAAUGGGUAAAGAAGCACCGGCUAACUACGUGCCAGCAGCCGCGGUGAUACGUAGGGUGCGAGCGUUGUCCGGAUUUAUUGGGCGUAAAGGGCUCGUAGGUGGUUGAUCGCGUCGGAAGUGUAAUCUUGGGGCUUAACCCUGAGCGUGCUUUCGAUACGGGUUGACUUGAGGAAGGUAGGGGAGAAUGGAAUUCCUGGUGGAGCGGUGGAAUGCGCAGAUAUCAGGAGGAACACCAGUGGCGAAGGCGGUUCUCUGGGCCUUUCCUGACGCUGAGGAGCGAAAGCGUGGGGAGCGAACAGGCUUAGAUACCCUGGUAGUCCACGCUGUAAACGGUGGGUACUAGGUGUGGGGUCCAUUCCACGGGUUCCGUGCCGUAGCUAACGCUUUAAGUACCCCGCCUGGGGAGUACGGCCGCGAGGCUAAAACUCAAAGGAAUUGACGGGGCCCCGCACAAGCGGCGGAGCAUGCGGAUUAAUUCGAUGCAACGCGUAGAACCUUACCUGGGUUUGACAUGGAUCGGGAGUGCUCAGAGAUGGGUGUGCCUCUUUUGGGGUCGGUUCACAGGUGGUGCAUGGCUGUCGUCAGCUCGUGUCGUGAGAUGUUGGGUUAAGUCCCGCAACGAGCGCAACCCUUGUUCACUGUUGCCAGCACGUUAUGGUGGGGACUCAGUGGAGACCGCCGGGGUCAACUCGGAGGAAGGUGGGGAUGACGUCAAGUCAUCAUGCCCCUUAUGUCCAGGGCUUCACGCAUGCUACAAUGGCUGGUACAGAGAGUGGCGAGCCUGUGAGGGUGAGCGAAUCUCGGAAAGCCGGUCUCAGUUCGGAUUGGGGUCUGCAACUCGACCUCAUGAAGUCGGAGUCGCUAGUAAUCGCAGAUCAGCAACGCUGCGGUGAAUACGUUCCCGGGGCUUGUACACACCGCCCGUCAAGUCAUGAAAGUUGGUAACACCCGAAGCCGGUGGCCUAACCGUUGUGGGGGAGCCGUCGAAGGUGGGACUGGUG
rnacentral:rRNA from 1 species